GAGUUUGAUCCUGGCUCAGAUUGAACGCUGGCGGCAGGCCUAACACAUGCAAGUCGAGCGGCAGCGCGGGUACUUGUACCUGGUGGCGAGCGGCGGACGGGUGAGUAAUGCCUAGGAAUCUGCCUGGUAGUGGGGGAUAACGCUCGGAAACGGACGCUAAUACCGCAUACGUCCUACGGGAGAAAGCAGGGGACCUUCGGGCCUUGCGCUAUCAGAUGAGCCUAGGUCGGAUUAGCUAGUUGGUGAGGUAAUGGCUCACCAAGGCGACGAUCCGUAACUGGUCUGAGAGGAUGAUCAGUCACACUGGAACUGAGACACGGUCCAGACUCCUACGGGAGGCAGCAGUGGGGAAUAUUGGACAAUGGGCGAAAGCCUGAUCCAGCCAUGCCGCGUGUGUGAAGAAGGUCUUCGGAUUGUAAAGCACUUUAAGUUGGGAGGAAGGGCAGUUACCUAAUACGUAAUUGUUUUGACGUUACCGACAGAAUAAGCACCGGCUAACUCUGUGCCAGCAGCCGCGGUAAUACAGAGGGUGCAAGCGUUAAUCGGAAUUACUGGGCGUAAAGCGCGCGUAGGUGGUUCGUUAAGUUGGAUGUGAAAUCCCCGGGCUCAACCUGGGAACUGCAUUCAAAACUGACGAGCUAGAGUAUGGUAGAGGGUGGUGGAAUUUCCUGUGUAGCGGUGAAAUGCGUAGAUAUAGGAAGGAACACCGGGUGGCGAAGCGGCUCUCUGGACCGAGACUGACGCUGAGCGCGAAAGCGUGGGGAGCAAACAGGAUUAGAUACCCUGGUAGUCCACGCCGU
rnacentral:rRNA from 1 species